rnacentral:tRNA from 1 species
UUGGGAGUAUAUCUCAGUGGUAAAGCCCUUGCCUGCCAUGUUAGAAGCCCUGGGUUCAAUCUCCAGCUCACUAG